rnacentral:rRNA from 1 species
UGACACCUACGGGGGGCAGCAGCCGCGGUAAUACGUAGGCGGCGAGCGUUAUCCGGAAUGAUUGGGCGUAAAGGGUGCGCAGGCGGUCCUGCAAGUCUGGAGUGAAACGCGUGAGCUCAACUCAUGCAUGGCUUUGGAAACUGGAGGACUGGAGAGCAGGAGAGGGCGGUGGAACUCCAUGUGUAGCGGUAAAAUGCGUAGAUAUAUGGAAGAACACCAGUGGCGAAGGCGGCCGCCUGGCCUGCUGCUGACGCUGAGGCACGAAAGCGUGGGGAGCAAAUAGGAUUAGAAACCCGGGGAGUCCU